rnacentral:rRNA from 1 species
GACGAACGCUGGCGGCGUGCUUAACACAUGCAAGUCGAACGGAAAGGCCCUGCUUUUGUGGGGUGCUCGAGUGGCGAACGGGUGAGUAACACGUGAGUAACCUGCCCUUGACUUUGGGAUAACUUCAGGAAACUGGGGCUAAUACCGGAUAGGAGCUCCUGCUGCAUGGUGGGGGUUGGAAAGUUUCGGCGGUUGGGGAUGGACUCGCGGCUUAUCAGCUUGUUGGUGGGGUAGUGGCUUACCAAGGCUUUGACGGGUAGCCGGCCUGAGAGGGUGACCGGCCACAUUGGGCCUGAGGUACGGCCCAGACUCCUACGGGAGGCAGCGGUGGGGAAUAUUGCACAAUGGGCGGAAGCCUGAUGCAGCAACGCCGCGUGCGGGAUGACGGCCUUCGGGUUGUAAACCGCUUUCGCCUGUGACGAAGCGUGAGUGACGGUAAUGGGUAAAGAAGCACCGGCUAACUACGUG